rnacentral:lncRNA from 1 species
GUAAUGAAUGUUCAUAAUAUACAGAUAAGCGCUAAAAAUAUUCAUGUGAACUUUUGAUACCUUUUCUGAAAUUCUCCAGUCAUUAAAUCUUUUACAAAAUUCAUUGAUUACAAAAAAAAAGAAGAUGUGGUAUGAUUGCCAUGUUGAGACAACUCUAUACAAGAGACCAAUAUGACACAGAAAUUAACAACUACAGGUCACCGUACGACCUUCAACAACGAGCAAAGCCCAUACCGCAUACUCAGCUUCAAAAGGCCCCGAGCUGACAAUGUAAAACAAUUCAAACCAGAAAACUAGCGGCCUUAUUUAUGUACAAAAAGUGAACGAAAAACAAAUAUGUAACACAUAAACAAACGACAACCACUGAAUUACAGGCUCCUUACUUAAAUGUUCAUAACAUACUAAAUGAAAACUAUGUUCAUAUUGAAAUUGAUAGAAAACCAAAAAUUGGGAAUUUUGGAAAUAAAGGAGGAGGGAUAAAAAAAAAAGCAUUUUCCUGUCCCAAAUAACCUAUAUAU